rnacentral:rRNA from 1 species
AACGAACGCUGGCGGCAGGCCUAACACAUGCAAGUCGAGCGGACCCUUCGGGGUUAGCGGCGGACGGGUGAGUAACGCGUGGGAAUAUGCCCUUCUCUACGGAAUAGUCCUGGGAAACUGGGGGUAAUACCGUAUACGCCCUUUGGGGGAAAGAUUUAUCGGGGAAGGAUUAGCCCGCGUUGGAUUAGGUAGUUGGUGGAGUAAUGGCCUACCAAGCCGACGAUCCAUAGCUGGUUUGAGAGGAUGAUCAGCCACACUGGGACUGAGACACGGCCCAGACUCCUACGGGAGGCAGCAGUGGGGAAUCUUAGACAAUGGGGGCAACCCUGAUCUAGCCAUGCCGCGUGAGUGAUGAAGGCCUUAGGGUUGUAAAGCUCUUUCAGCUGGGAAGAUAAUGACGGUACCAGCAGAAGAAGCCCCGGCUAACUCCGUG